AAGGGCAACCGGCAGACGAGGUAGUAACACGUAGGUAGAUCCCCCGAAGUCGGGCAUAGCCAGCCGAAAGGUUGGGUAAUUCCCGAUAGUCCUGUAAAGGUAAAGGUUUUUCGCUUCGGGAGUUGCCUGCGUAGUAUCAGCUAGUUGGUAGGGUAACGGCCUACCAAGGCUACGACGCUUAGGGGAGCUGAGAGGCUGACCCCCACCGAUGGAACUGCGACACGGUCCAUACUCCUACGGGAGGCUGCAGACUAGAAUAUUCCGCAAUGGGCGAAAGCCUGACGGAGCGACGCCGCGUGAUUGAUGAAGUGCUUCGGUACGUAAAGAUCUUUUAUCGGGGAAGAAGUUUAUUGACGGUACCCGAUGAAUAAGAGGCUCCUAACUCUGUGCCAGCAGGAGCGGUAAUACAGAGGCCUCAAGCAUUACCCGGAAUUACUGGGCGUAAAGGGUGUCUAGGCGGCCAUAUUAGUCUUGCGUUAAAUCUGUGGGCUCAACCUGCAGUCUGCGUGAGAAACGGUAUGGCUCGAGGGCGUAAGAGGUGCACGGAACUCAUGGUGGAGGGGUGAAAUCCGUUGAUAUCAUGGGGAACACCAAAGGCGAAGGCAGUGCACUGGUACGUUCCUGACGCUCAAACACGAAAGCCAGGGUAGCGAACGGGAUUAGAUACCCCGGUAGUCCUGGCCCUCAACGUUGCUCGCUCGUUUUACGGAGUAUCGACCCUCUGUGAGACUAAGCUAACGCGGUAAGCGAGCCGCCUGGGUAGUACGAUCGCAAGAUUAAAACUCAAAGGAAUAGACGGGGACUCGCACAAGCAGUGGAUUAUGU
rnacentral:rRNA from 1 species